ACACCUAACUACAAGUUCCUGGUUCCUGCUUCGUCUAUCCUGUCUGCAGUCAAGUCGCCAAUUGCUUCCGUGGAUUCUGCGUGUACUCUGCUAGGUCUGGCUAAGAUCCUGCAACUAGCCAGAAAGUUGUGAAACACCAAAUAGGUUUUGCCAAUAGAGCUUUUGUGUGCAUGCACACUUCUUCAGAUAGUGUAACAUGACAUACUAGUUUUAUGUUUUCCGAAGAGUUUGUGUCCAUCUAAGUUCUACUCAGCAUAAACCCAUUGAAAUUAAUGGACCUAAGUUGGUCAUUUCCACUAAUUUCAAUGGGCCUACUCUAAGUAUGACCAACACUGGAAACAAACCUAAGGGCACAGUCCUAUAUAGUCUUGUUUGGGAGUAAGUACCAUUGAGCUCAACGGGGCUUGCUUUUGAGUAGACAUAUCACCCUGUAACUCUCUUAACACUCCAUCCAAACACUUUGAAAGGGGAGAAAUGUAAAUAAAUAAGGAAAUAUUUGUUUAAAAGGUGAAUGCGUUUUAAUUUUUUUGUUGAUAGACAAAGCCGAAGACCUCUCUCCCCGCCCUUGUGCAUUAGAUCCUCCAGAUUUCCCCCCUCCUGAUUACUGGCUAUAUCUACCUUUGACUGAAGAUAGCCAUAUGAAAUUCUGUGAUGAUCGAGAUGGAUAGAGCCAAACCAAAAGACCUGCAUCACCCAUGCAACUGUUCGAUCUUCCAAAACAUUUUUGAGAAUGUUCCAUAGAAAUGCAAUGGUGUGUCUACAGAACAUAUAUCACCAGUGGAACCCUGACUGAGUUAAGACCAAGCCAAAUGUAGGAUGGAAAGAAAUGCUUGCAUAUUUUGUUUGGUCGAUCUUCUUAUAUUCCAAUCUGUCUGUCUUUUUAUUUAUCUGUAGUGUGAGAUGUAUUCUAAUCUACGCUGAGAAGUAGUAAAGGCGGCUGGCAGAAGGGAUUGUCUUCUCGAGUUUGGUUCUUGCUCACUGAUUUAGUAUUCAGAAUUUAGAAUUUAUGGAGGAUCCUUCCAUUGUCACAUCAUCCAUCAGAGGCAGACACCAGAGAGAUGGAAGUGGGAGCAGAGAGAGAAAGAGAGAGAGGGAGAGGAGGG